rnacentral:lncRNA from 1 species
UGGAAUUAGUGAAACUAAUAGCGAACAGCAUGGAUCCUGACCAGACUGCGCAUUUGCGCAGGCUGGUCUGGAUUCAUGCUGGUUCCAAACGCACUAUGUUGGUUUUCUCAUGACACGGCUCAUAUCAAUGAUUGCUCACUUUGAAUUUGCCAGUUUUGUUUUAUAUGCUGAUUUAAGAUAAAGUUUAUCACAUUUUUAGCACGACUUUACGAAAUAUAUAGAGAACUAUCCUACUUGCACCGGCAUUGACUUGACAUUCAUAUCCACACAUCUUGGUUAAAAUUUUGAUGCAGUCUCUUUGUGACUAUGUGCUUCAAACUUAAAAUAGUUGUUCCUUAUCAUCAUCCACAUCAUAUUGGCAUAAGGGUUAUCAUCUCUGGCACUAGUAUUUCAUGAAUUAAUUCUCUUUUUACAAAAAAAUUCUGGAUCAGGUUUUGAUGCACUUUUACUCUAUCUCUGUUAUUUGACUCAAACUUGAACGGUUAUUCAACAUCAUCAUCCACAUUUAGGGGUAUUUAUAACUCCAGUGAUUGCUCUAAUUUCCUCAGAUAUACCCAAUAUCACUACCAAGCAUUGAAAUAGCCGAGUGCGCUGUCUCCUCAGUCAACUCUUGUUAGUUUGACUAAUACUUCAGGAAUAAAAAAGUUUGGGAAUAUUUUUUUCAUUGUUUUUGAUGCUAUAUUUGCUAGACUCACCACAUAGAGACUCUAUUAGAAACUGUUGGUGAUCUUUCAUUAUGUAUCAUAAUGUGUUAGGACUGUAAAUUUUACUGUUUACUGAGAAUUGCAUACAGCUAUUUAAAAUGGGGAGUAAUUUUUUUUAAUCCAUUUUUUUUUUGCUUUGAUUCAAGCAUGAAACAUACUUUUGUAAACAUUAUCAUGUUACUGAAUUUUGACUGAAUUGCCAAAGUUCUAGGUAUGCUUUUGUAUUAUGCAUAAUAUAACCUUUUAUUAAAAUGCUUUUGUUUUAAAACAAACCUUCAUUGUAAAUAGUGCUUUUUGAUAUGUAGCAGGGAUUUUGAGAUUAUAUUGUUACUUGUUAUUAUUUGAAUAAUGCAUAGAAGAAUGUUACUAUGUAGAUGUUUGGCUUAUACAGUUUUAAUAAAUUGGUAUUUUAGUAUAAAAAAAUGUAAGAAGGAAAUCCUUAGAUUAGGAAUUGGUGUAAGCAGUGCAAUGUUUAUAGAAUACGAACAUGUACAUGUAAGACGGGAAUUCAUAGAUAUGGCGUGUAAGAAGUACAAUGUAUGUAGAAUGUGAAUAUAUACACAUAAGAAGGGAAUCCCUAGUUGUGGCAUUGGUGUAAGCAGAUAGAUGAAUGUUGAAUGUUAAAAAGAAAAUUCUUAAAUCAGGUAUUAGUGUAAGCAGUACAAUUUACGUAGAAUGUGAACAUUUACAUGCAAGAAGGGAAUCCUUGGAUCAGGGUUGGUGUAAGCAGUAUAAUGUAUGUUCCUAUAUGUGAAAGUAAGGAUCCUCAGAUAGGGAAAUGUUGUAGCAGUACUGUGUAUGUAGAAUAUAAAUAUACAUGGAAGAAGGGGAUCUCUAGACCAAGGAUUGGUGAAAGCAGUGGAGUGUAUGUUGAAACUUCUUUCCUCAAAUUUCAAGGAAACAGGCAUUGUAUUUUGAGAUAACUUCUAUUCAGAUUUAAAAUUAUAUUUGCUGAUGGUGUUUCUCACUACAAAUGGUGUGGUAAUCUCCUAUAUAUGUACAUGUUAACAUUACACAUACAUUUUUAUAUACAUUUAGAGUACAUAGCAAUUUGAAAUGCUUUUUGUUCCUUGUUUUUGUUUAUUUCAUAUCUGCAAUGCAAAAUCUUGCUACUUGGAUUCAUCAAGUCACAAGUAUGUAAGAAUCUGGCUAACAGGGCCUCAGAAUUACUUUGACAUAAAAUAAGUUGCAUUUUAUCAAAUUUGACUUUAGCGGAGUGAAAACAGAAACGUUAAGAUACCGGUAGUCGAAAUUUCAAGACAGUAAAGUUUCAACUGUACAUUUAUUAGCAUUUGAGUUAUCAAAACACAGAAUGAUGUUAAUAUCAACAGACCUUCAUUUACAGUUUGAGAGAGUUCAAGCAAAAGCUUAUUAUACCAAUGGCAGUGUAAGUACUGUUUUCACCAACCGAAAUCCUUACUUUCUCAAUGUUGCCAUGUAGAUAGUUUGUUACGAGUGCUGGUUAUUUAAUCAUUUAGUUUUGCUUAGUGCAACUUUUUGGGGCUAAUUUUUUAUCUGCUACAUAAACAUUAUUUAUUUUGUUUUGAAUUGUGUAAAAAAUACAAUAUUUUACAUUUAUGAUAUUAAGUUGAGGUAUAUUUUCUGUUAUUUUGCCAGGAAGCGAACUUGCCAGUAAAUGUGUGUGUGUAGGCUUGCAUAAUCCAGCUGUUUCAUUAUUUUGUUUGCAUUUAUAAAAAAUAAUAAACCAUUUAAAAAUAGCAUGGAAAUAUUUUCCGUAUUUCGUCAGAAUGGAAAUAUUUUCCAUAUUUCGUCAGAAAUAUUUUCCGUAUUUCGUCAGAAUGGAAAUAUUUUCCAUAUUUCGUCAGAAAUGUGCACGAGUACAAAUUUUCCUAGGUAUUUUAGGUGUGUUAGGGUAAUGCCUCGAGAUUAGGAUAAAAACUUCAAUCAUUAAAAAAACAAAAAGUAAGGUAUUUUAACUCUUAAAAAUUUCUAAUUGGUAUUAUUUUAUUUAAAUUGUGACAAUGUUGUUUUCUCAACGGAUUGUUUACAGAUCAUCAAAAUUGCUGGAGUAAGAUGAUACUCGGUAUGCUUGAUAUUUAGUGUAAAAUGAUGACUAAAAUCACAAUUUUGUGUUUUGUAUUUUUGACAAUCUUACAUCUGUGUUCAUUUUUCAUGUGUAACAUUGAUAUAAUUUUUCAGGUUGUUUUUAAAUCCAUAUAACACAAAGGGGUUAUUUAUUUCACAUUCAAGAACAGUGUCCUAAAUGUCUGAAGAAAUCCUUCGACAUUGUUGUCAGUGGAACAAAAUAGAAAACUGGUCAGUCUGAACAUGUUGUUCCCAACAUUCCAGAACACUGUUCUACUUGACCAGUAUUUAUUUGAAUAGGAACAUGUUCAGAAAACUUCGAAUUCUGUUAGUAAAGGGGAAUUUUAAGUGGUAAGCUGUUGAAAUUUGGGUCGAGUAUUUCAAAAAGAAGGUAUUUUAAAAAAACGUAUUUUUAAAAAAAAAUAGUUUGACAUUUUAUAUGUCUUACCCAAUUACAUUAUUGUUACUGUAGUUUUUUAACAGCUAUCUGUCAUGUAUCUGGUGUAAAAAUUGAGUUGAAUAUUCAAGCUGGAUAAUAAAACUGAUAUUUGAUGAAGUUAGUUAUAUAUGCUAGCAUUUUUCCAUGAAGUGAGGUAUGGUGUAUUUAAGACAAUUCUUAUUUUUUUUUUUUUUUGUAUUUGUUUUGUAGUGAUAUAACAGACAGUUUUAAAUUGAAACUCAGUAUGAUUUUGCCAGUAAAUUUUGUUUCUUAUAUGAUUAUUUUAUGUUACUACACCUGCUUUCUGGGUGUGCAAUGUUAUAUAAAAUACAAUCAUUUUUUAGCCGAUUAUGCUCCAUGUUGUACAUGUAUGUUUAAGAUUAAAUUGGUCAUACGUAGUGUUAAGUUUAAGUGUACUUGUGAUGGUUUCAUUUAAAAUCAUUUAGCAUACCAGUUCAUUUUUGUUCAGUUUAGAGGAAGCUCUACUGUUUGACGCACAUUGAAAUGUUUAAUUUGCAUUUCACCGACUAUAAAAUGUUUAAUGGGCAGUAAAAUCCCAGGAAGUCUUCCUGUUAUUGUCUGGCUUCAUUUCCUUGGCUUACUGCGAAAAAGAUUCAGAAUAUAGAGAAAGAUACUGAAUUUAGUACCAAAUUACAGUACUUAAGCAUGGCUCUGUAUGACCUAGAAAAAAUGUACUGAUGGUAGAAACAUAUUGUAGUACCAGGUUUCCGUAACUUAAGGGACAUGAUUAUUGUGUAUAAAUGUGUUAUGUUAGUUGAAGAUUGUUUGUGGUUGGAACAUAUUGUUUCGCAUAUAGUUGUGUAUGUUAGUUGGUUUGUGGCUGGAACAUAAUGUUUUGCAUAUAACUGUGUAUGUUGGUUUCUGGCUGGAACAUGAUUGUUUUGCAUAUAUUGUAUACAUUUUAUGAAAAUGGUUUGUGGCUAGAACAUAUUGUUUUGCAAAUAAACUGUGUAUGUAAGUUGAAGACUGUUUUUAGCCGAAAUAUAUUGUUUUGCAUAAAAUUUGUGUACGAGAAGUUGCUGUUAGAUAUGUUAUGUUUUUCAGUAUUUGAUACAAUGCUUUUUGAUACUCUGAUGCCAUUUAAAUAAGGAUCUGUAUUACAUUGCUUGCAUUCCAAAGAGGUCAUAAUAAAACUAUGAAAACUGAA